UGUUUAUUGGUGUUUUAAAAAUAACUCUUUGUAUAUAGUCUAUAAUUCACCAUACUUCAGAUGAAAAGAUUUCAUCUCAGUUACUUUUGUCUACUCUCUCCAUAUUUACAGGCCUGCAACAUUUUUAGAAUUGAUUAAAAUGUCUGCACUUGGAUUAAUACAGAAUGUGCACCAAACAUCUGCCUCAUGAUUCAAAAGUGUAUCCUGUUGCAUAGCAGCUCUAGCUGUAUGUAAUGAUCUGAAUUACAUCAUUUGCACUCAUGUGAUGGCUAGUGCCCUCCAUUUUUCACUUUCCUUCCCAAGAAACUUCCUUCCUUUUUGAAGUCAUUGGAUUUACUUGGAUUUUCUGGACUUUCUUGUGAACACUGAAUAAAAGUGCUCAUUUAAAGCAAAACUGUGCCCUCAUUCACCAAGGGUACAUGGGGGAAAGCACUAUGCAAAGCCAGUAUAAACUAAAAUUUCAUACAGACAAUGACUUGUUUUUACUGCUCUAUAUUCUAUACACUGAAAUAAAAUAAACAUAGAAGUUAUACUUAAGGACAGUGGAAGGCUCAAGAUUGAAGCACUCUAUUAAAAAUCUGACUGCUGAUUGCAGCUCGCAAUUUUAGCGCUCAUCAAUCAUUGUCUUGAAUGACUCAUCAAAUGAUCUUUACCCAUGAGGACAGUAUUGAGAAAGCCAAGUGAACCAGUAAAUAUUCUUGAUAGUAACACAAUUGCUACUAAAUACUCUUCAGAACACAGUGAAGCUCUUUAUUGUUUGUAUUUCAUUUUCAGUUACACAUAGGAGGAACACUCAAUGCACUUGUACCACAGCAGGUGGCCACAGUCUGAAACUCUAAUUUUGACUGCUGGACUCAAGUAGAGUUGUCUUAAGGUCUUA